GCGAGUUUCAACAGUUAUCAGCCUGUGGCCAAUCGUGUUUCAUCCGCUGCUGCCUGCUAUUCUCAUCCUAUCCUGCCUCCAGGUUAUUUUGAAACAAAAUCCAAACAGCAUAUCAUCACAUCUAUCAAUAUAAUGAUGCAUUAAAAUAUAUAAUUAUAAUGUCAUUACCAUACCUAAAAAUAACAAAAAAUUCCCAGUUAUAAAAUAUGUUGUGUUUAAACUUCUUAGGUUAACUUAUAAUUUUAUUUUAUUGUUUUACAAUUUGUUUGAUUCAGGAUCCCAAUAAUUCAUAUGUUGCAAUUGGCUGAUAGUGUCUUUAUUAGUUUUUAAUGUGUAUGCUCAUCCCUCUUAUUUUUCCUCAGCUCUGUAUUUGUUGAGGCAACUGGGUUGUUUAUACUGUUUUCCACAUUUGGAUUUUGCUGAAUUUGUCCCAUGGUGGUAUUUGAUGUGUUCAUCUGUUUGCUGAAUUUUCUGUAUAUCACUAGUUGAAUAUAGAGGUCUCAUCAGAUUCAGAUUUGAUUUUGGCAAGAAUGCUUCAGAGGUGAUGCUGUGAACUUUUACUAAGAAGCACAAACUGCCUAAUUGUCGUCUCUCUUUUUGUUAUUAGCAGCUACUGAUGAUUGUUGACUAGAUCCAUUGUUUCUUCAGAAUUUGCAUAUUAGUAAUAAUCUUUCUUUUCUUUUUUUUUUUUCUUGAGACAAGGUCUUGCUCCAAUGCAGUGGCAUGAUCAUGGCUCACUGCUGCCUCGACUUCCCCAGCUCAGGUGAUCCACCUCCUCAACCUCCUGAAUAGCUAGGACUACAGGCAUGCACCACCACGGCAAGCUAAUUUUAUUUUAUGUUUUGUAUUUUUUGUAGAGAUGAGGUUUCGCCAUGUUGCGCAGGCUGGUCUUGAACUCCUGGGCUGAAGCGAUCUGCCUACCUUGGCCUCCUGAAGUGCUGGAAUUACAGGUGCAGAGGUGCUGUGUUGCCAAGGUUUGGGACUUCCAUUUGAUCAUGGGCUGAACUAAUUAAUUGGGGGCCUGCUUAGGUUCCGACCAGAAGGGUUCACCUUAUCCAGGUAAGGAGCCUUCCCCAUAGGUCAGCUCAAUUUUCAGCACUGAGUUUGGGGCCAAAGCCUCUGUUAAAAAUCAGUGUCACUUAACUUCCUAUUUUCUAAUUAUUGUCCUGGUUACUUUCUUCACUCAGAGACUUGAAGAAGGUGAAGGCAGGGCAGGUUUGGGCAUAAUAACCUUCAGUGACACCUGGGUUCACCCUGGUUUCUAAUAGUGUUCCCUGAUCCAUCAGGAUAAACAUGCUCAGUGCUUAUUCGAGUGGGCCCCAAAUCUUGCUGAGGCCUUGGUCCCACUCUACUGAGAAAUUUUUAUCAUCAUGAUCAUCAUCAUCAUCACCACUACCAUCAUCAUCGUCUUCAAAUAGUUUCCAUUUACUUUGUGGACCAGGUACUAUCUUAGGUACUUUAUGCACAAUAGGUCAUGGGGUCCUUGAAUAACUGUGCAAAGCAGGUGUUAGCAUCCCUGGAGAAGGACAGGUGAGGAAAUCGAGGCUAAGAGAGGGGCGGUCAAAGUCACACAGAUGCUGACUGUGUGAAUAGAAGGUAAUGCCCAGUGCUUCCAGCUCUUGGUGCAGGACUGUCAGUGGUGCCACCAGAGCAGAAGUGUCACCAUCCCAUGGCUAAUGUGGUCUUGGGCUUUUAGAGAGAAAUUGAGGCAAAGGGUAGGUCUAGUUCACAGGAUCUAAGUUUGUAGAAGUAGCAGGCCUAUUCAAAACCUUGGUCACCAUGAGAACCACCUGCCCUCCCCUCAGGGUACUAUUUCCUGCCUUGAGGGAGCCUCUAGGGUCUGCUAAAUUAAUUGUGUAUGAAAGCAGGAAGGAGCUGGUGGUGUCUGUGGGACCUGUGUGAUCCAGGGCUUACCACCUAGGCUCCUUAGUGGAAGGAGAGGUGGGAUUUGAACUCAGUUCUCUAUGAGCUGCUAUGAGUUUUGUAAUGGUAGUGGUGGCAGUGUGAGAUGGUGUGUGUUGAUUUCACAUGAAUAAGGGCUCUGGGCAAUGCUGGUAUGCAAUGAGUCAGGCUUUUUGCAGAAGACAGAUCAGGGUAGGUUAAACCAGCUGGAGAUGUUACAUUUGCCAAAAGACAUGACAGAGAAGAGAAAUAAAGGGUGGG
rnacentral:lncRNA from 1 species